rnacentral:rRNA from 1 species
GACGAACGCUGGCGGCGUGCCUAAUACAUGCAAGUAGAACGCUGAAGAGAGGAGCUUGCUCUUCUUGGAUGAGUUGCGAACGGGUGAGUAACGCGUAGGUAACCUGCCUUGUAGCGGGGGAUAACUAUUGGAAACGAUAGCUAAUACCGCAUAACAAUGGAUGACACAUGUCAUUUAUUUGAAAGGGGCAAUUGCUCCACUACAAGAUGGACCUGCGUUGUAUUAGCUAGUAGGUGAGGUAAUGGCUCACCUAGGCGACGAUACAUAGCCGACCUGAGAGGGUGAUCGGCCACACUGGGACUGAGACACGGCCCAGACUCCUACGGGAGGCAGCAGUAGGGAAUCUUCGGCAAUGGGGGCAACCCCGACCGAGCAACGCCGCGUGAGUGAAGAAGGGUUUCGGAUCGUAAAGCUCUGUUGUAAGUCAAGAACGGGUGUGAGAGUGGAAAGUUCACACUGUGACGGUAGCUUACCAGAAAGGGACGGCUAACUACGUG